GAUGAACGCUGGCGGCGUGCCUAAUACAUGCAAGUCGAGCGAACAGAUGAGGAGCUUGCUCCUUUGACGUUAGCGGCGGACGGGUGAGUAACACGUGGGUAACCUACCUAUAAGACUGGGAUAACUUCGGGAAACCGGAGCUAAUACCGGAUAACAUUUUGAACCGCAUGGUUCUAUAGUGAAAGAUGGUUUUGCUAUCACUUAUAGAUGGACCCGCGCCGCAUUAGCUAGUUGGUAAGGUAACGGCUUACCAAGGCAACGAUGCGUAGCCGACCUGAGAGGGUGAUCGGCCACACUGGAACUGAGACACGGUCCAGACUCCUACGGGAGGCAGCAGUAGGGAAUCUUCCGCAAUGGGCGAAAGCCUGACGGAGCAACGCCGCGUGAGUGAUGAAGGGUUUCGGAUCGUAAAACUCUGUUAUUAGGGAAGAACAAAUGUGUAAGUAACUAUGCACGUCUUGACGGUACCUAAUCAGAAAGCCACGGCUAACUACGUG
rnacentral:rRNA from 1 species